UAAUGGGGGGUGUGAAAAUUAAUUGCCAUUGGUGUAUAACGUCAGUUGCCACCUGUCAUUGUCGUCAACUGCCACCAUGUCAACUUAUUGCUUGCCAUCCUAUUGUAGAGCCUGAUGCCAUCGAAUCAAACGGAUAGCUAGCACCAGAUUUUAGAAAAGGAUAGUGGAUGUGCAUGUCCUACUAGCCAUGAUAUGUUGGUUGCCAACGCAUGAAAAUGUGAUAGCACUGACGUGUUAACUUCUACAUGCAAGCAGCACAAUGAUAAAAAAAAUUUGGAUUGUUGAUGCCUUCUUGUUCAUCCAGUGAUUGAGAGCACAUCAGAACAGAAGCGAGACACGGAAAAGAAUGAAUCACGAAGAUGGUGCAGAUGAUUGGGGUUCUCAAAGGCCAGAAACGCCGCCACCUUUCGAUGCAUCAGAGUACAGUCAGCUCAUCUCUGCAGGUCCGUUGCUGCCGCUGCUAGAACAGUAUGCAGGCGUAGGUUCUUAUGACCAGAACACUCUUAGGGGGGCCCGUGGCAAGUGCAGUCACAAGGCGCUAACGCUGACAAAUGUACGGGCAGCCAACUCCAACUAGCUAGUAUGGCUAAUCAAGAGCCUUCGUGCAGCACGUGGAAUCGGGCAGCACCCAUGUACCUGCCAUCGACGUCGUACACAGGUGAGUCCAUAAACAUAGUGAAGAUGCGGAUGCUCAGUCAGCACAAGGAGCAUAGUUGACAACUACAAAAAUUGCCAUGACUGGUCUUCUACGGUUGCCAUGUAUUAAAAACAACAUUUGCCAUCUCUGCACACCUGCAGUUGCC